UACGAAGGGGGCUAGCGUUGUUCGGAAUCACUGGGCGUAAAGGGCGCGUAGGCGGCUUUGUAAGUCGGGGGGUGAAAGCCUGUGGCUCAACCACAGAAUUGCCUUCGAUACUGCGAGGCUUGAGACCGGAAGAGGUUAGUGGAACUGCGAGUGUAGAGGUGAAAUUCGUAGAUAUUCGCAAGAACACCAGUGGCGAAGGCGGCUGACUGGUCCGGAUCUGACGCUGAGGCGCGAAAGCGUGGGGAGCAAACAGG
rnacentral:rRNA from 1 species